rnacentral:rRNA from 1 species
AUUCCGGUUGAUCCUGCCGGAGGCCAUUGCUAUUGGAGUCUGAUUUAGCCAUGCUAGUCGUACGAGUUCGUACUCGUGGCGGAUAGCUCAGUAACACGUGGCCAGACUACCCUACAGAUCGGGAUAAUCUCGGGAAACUGAGGCCAAUACCGAAUAUAGCUUCCACGUUGGAAUUGCAGGAAGCUAAAAAUACUACGGUGCUGUAGGAUGUGGCUGCGGCCGAUUAGGUAGACGGUGGGGUAACGGCCCACCGUGCCAGUAAUCGGUACGGGUGAUGAGAGUCAGAGCCCGGAGACGGUAUCUGAGACAAGAUACCGGGCCCUACGGGGCGCAGCAGGCGCGAAACCUUUACACUGCACGACAGUGCGAUAGGGAGACUCCAAGUGCGAGGGCAUACAGUCCUCGCUUUUGUACACCGUAAGGUGGUGUACGAAUAAGAACUGGGCAAGACCGGUGCCAGCCGCCGCGGUAAUACCGGCAGUUCGAGUGAUGGCCGAUAUUAUUGGGCCUAAAGCGUUCGUAGCUGGCCAAUCAAGUCUGUCGGGAAAUCCACGCGCCCAACGCGUGGGCGUCCGGCGGAAACUAGUUGGCUUGGGACCGGAAGACUCGAGGAGUACGUCCGGGGUAGGAGUGAAAUCCCGUAAUCCUGGACGGACUACCGAUGGCGAAAGCACCUCGAGAGCACGGAUCCGACAGUGAGGAACGAAAGCUGGGGUCUCGAACCGGAUUAGAUACCCGGGUAGUCCCAGCUGUCAACGAUGCCCGCUAGGUAUGGCACGGGCUACGAGCCUGUGCUAUGCCGCAGCGAAGGCGCUAAGCGGGCCGCCUGGGAAGUACGUCUGCAAGGAUGAAACUUAAAGGAAUUGGCGGGGGAGCACUACAACCGGAGGAGCCUGCGGUUUAAUUGGACUCAACGCCGGACAUCUCACC